CGCGUAGGCGGCUGGGCAAGUCGGACGUGAAAGCCCUCGGCUCAACCGAGGAAUUGCCUCCGAAACUGCCUGGCUUGAGUCCCGGAGAGGGUAGCGGAAUUCCCAGUGUAGCGGUGAAAUGCGUAGAUAUUGGGAGGAACACCUGUGGCGAAGGCGGCUACCUGGACGGGUACUGACGCUGAGGCGCGAAAGCUAGGGGAGCAAACA
rnacentral:rRNA from 1 species